ensembl:processed_transcript 4930429F24Rik RIKEN cDNA 4930429F24 gene
GGCGCACACUUCCUGUUGUGGUUAUCAUGGAGACUUCUGGAGCCGUCAGGUCGGACUCGGUGACCUGGGCUACCUGUAAUUUCGGCGCCGGGUUGACUUUUCUUAUGACGCCUACGCCUCUUCUGAAGGGAGUUGUAGCGUCCUGGAGUCCACAUGUUUAAAAGGAUGCAGAUCCCUAUUGAAUUUUAACUCGCCACUCAGUGUGCCUCUAUGAAUUUAAGUGAGUUCAGUUACUACAUUAUGCCACUAUGUCAGAAAGGAAGAAGAAGAAGAAGAAGGAGGAGAAGGAGAAGGAGAAGAAGAAGAACUUUGAUAAAUUAAGGAAUGGAGAAAAGAAACCUAAAACAGUUGUUUUACUAUUUGGCCAAAGUUCACACAGGUUUAAAAUCUCAACAGUGGUAUUGGAUAAAACCAUCACAUGCCUACUAAACCAUUUACUCUCACCUUACCUCUGAGUUUUACAAGCUCCAAGUUAUUUUAGCAGCAUCUAUGUUGUUGUUAGUGCUUAAACUAGAUAUUCCACACCGUGAUUUCUUAGAGGUUGUUUUAAGACUCAAUGAAUUUGUUUUAUGUACAAUCUGGGCAAGAAUAUCCUGCUGAUACUCUCUAUCCAGUCUCUUCAUCAAGCUCAACACUUUAUGAACACUUGAAGAAAGGCAGAUGAUACCACAGAAACCAAGAUCAAAUAAGCAAAAAGAGUUAUCAAGUGGAAAGAUGUAGUCAUUACUGUGAUUCAUGCUUGUAAUUCUAACACUCGGGUGACUGGGGCAGGAACAUCAUAGGUGUGAACCAUCCUUAGCUACAUAAUGUGUUUGAGGACAGCCUGGGCUAGCUAGUGAAACCCUGUCUCAGAAAACACAUGUAGAGGCUGGGGAUUGUAUUGCACAUUUUUAUUUCCUAACACUCAGGAAACAGAGAGACAGGAUCUCUGUGAGUUUUGGACAACCAGAGCUACAUAAGAAGACCCUGUCUUAAAAACAAAACGGAACAACUGCAGAUCAAACAGAACAAUGGAUUGGGUCAACUGUGCCUUGAACUAGAAAUGCUGAUUGCAGUUCAGAAAAUACCUAAAUAAUUCCAUCCACAGAUUAGUCUCAUCCAGAUUGAUGGAGAUGUAUUUACAGUAAAAGAAUCAAGGUUACACAAUGUUUCCAGGUUAGCGCCAGAACUACCUGUGAUGGCAACUUUUACAACGCAACAAGGUUGCUAAGAUGUGACUGUGAUCUUGCCUUGUUUCACAACAGUCUCUUGUUUCAAAUUUAAUGUGUUCCUUUUACUUAUAUGUCACUCAAGAAAUUGGUGAUGAGGUAGGCAGGAAAAUCAGCAUCUACCCAGAUGACUGGUUACAACAUAAUCUUCACUGUCUUGACAAAUACUAAAGUUCUUUACAACUCAGGAGGGAAAGAAACCCAGAAGAUCCGUAUCCACAGCUUAGCAGUCUUGUAAGUUAAAGCAAAUAAUUAAGCUCCAGUAACUGUACCACCUAAGUCAGCAGAAAAAUACUAAAUAAAAUAAAAGCUGUUUUGUGAUUG